rnacentral:rRNA from 1 species
GGACGGGUUAGUAACGCGUGGGAAUAUACCCAAUGGUACGGAAUAGCCUCUGGAAACGGAGAGUAAUACCGUAUGUGCCCUUCGGGGGAAAGAUUUAUCGCCAUUGGAUUAGCCCGCGUUGGAUUAGGUAGUUGGUGGGGUAAUGGCCUACCAAGCCUACGAUCCAUAGCUGGUUUGAGAGGAUGAUCAGCAACACUGGGACUGAGACACGGCCCAGACUCCUACGGGAGGCAGCAGUGGGGAAUCUUAGACAAUGGGCGAAAGCCUGAUCUAGCCAUGCCGCGUGAGUGACGAAGGCCCUAGGGUCGUAAAGCUCUUUCGCCAGAGAUGAUAAUGACAGUAUCUGGUAAAGAAACCCCGGCUAACUCCGUGCCAGCAGCCGCGGUAAUACGGAGGGGGUUAGCGUUGUUCGGAAUUACUGGGCGUAAAGCGUACGUAGGCGGACUAGUCAGUCAGAGGUGAAAUCCCAGGGCUCAACCCUGGAACUGCCUUUGAUACUGCUAGUCUUGAGUUCGAGAGAGGUGAGUGGAAUUCCAAGUGUAGAGGUGAAAUUCGUAGAUAUUUGGAGGAACACCAGUGGCGAAGGCGGCUCACUGGCUCGAUACUGACGCUGAGGUACGAAAGUGUGGGGAGCAAACAGGAUUAGAUAC